UGGCAUGAAAUUUAUAUCCCUGGAAUCCUUAUUGAGUCUAUUUUUAUUAGAAACAAGAAAACCCAUUUUUCAAAUUUUUUACAGAGAGUUAAGUAAAUUUUAGUGAGGAAGGGUCAGAACAGUUGGGCAGUGAAACAGGGGAAGGUUUAAUGAAUAAACUGUACUAAUUGGCUGGGUUAAAAAUUCUGAAAUUUUUAUGGUAAAAUGGUAUAUGAGUCUAGUUUCAGGGAAAAUUU
rnacentral:lncRNA from 1 species